AUUGAACGCUAGCGGCAUGCCUAACACAUGCAAGUCGAACGCGUGGCGGACGGGUGAGUAAUAUAUCGGAACGUGCCCAGUGGCGGGGGAUAACUACUCGAAAGAGUGGCUAAUACCGCAUACGAUUGGAGCUGCCCAUAUCGGAUUAGCUAGUUGGUGGGGUAAAGGCUCACCAAGGCAACGAUCCGUAGCUGGUUUGAGAGGACGACCAGCCACACUGGGACUGAGACACGGCCCAGACUCCUACGGGAGGCAGCAGUGGGGAAUAUUGGACAAUGGGGGAAACCCUGAUCCAGCCAUCCCGCGUGUAUGAGAAGGCCUUCGGGUUGUAAAGUACUUUUGGCAGAGAAGCGGUAUCUGCAGAAUAAGCACCGGCUAACUACGUGCCAGCAGCCGCGGUAAUUC
rnacentral:rRNA from 1 species